CCUACGGGAGGCAGCAGUGGGGAAUAUUGCACAAUGGGGGAAACCCUGAUGCAGCAACGCCGCGUGAGUGAAGAAGUAUUUCGAUAUGUAAAGCUCUAUCAGCAGGGAAGAAGAUGACGGUACCUGAGUAAGAAGCCCCGGCUAACUACGUGCCAGCAUCCGCGGUAAUACGUAGGGGGCAAGCGGUAUCCGGAUUCAUUGGGUUUAAAGGGUGCGGAGGCGGGCCUUUAAGCCGGCGGUGAAAUCGCGGGGCUCAACCCCGCCGAGCCGUCGGAACGGGGGGCCUUGAGUGCGGCGGAGGCAUGCGGAAUGCGCGGGGUAGCGGUGAAAUGCAUAGAUAUCGCGCAGAACCCCGAUUGCGAAGGCAGCGUGCCGUGCCGCCACUGACGCUGAGGCACGAAAGCGCGGGGAUCGAACAGGAUUAGAUACCCUUGUAGUC
rnacentral:rRNA from 1 species